rnacentral:snoRNA from 1 species
GUGGUGAAAGCUCCCGUGUCUGACUUGUGACGACUUCACGUACCGGCUGA